UUGUGCCAAUCUGAGGAAAUCUGAUGAGUUGCACCCGCUGCUCGGUACUAGGUCGUCAGAGCCCCCCUGAGUUGAGCAACGGGCCACAGCGGAGGCCGGACAGACGGAAACGGCACAGCGGUGCCUUCACACCUGCCCGUCACCUCGACGCCACGCCACUUCCUGCUCUGCAGCCGUGUCAGUGCUUCUGCAGCCACGCGUUUCAUCCCAGCCGUGCCCUCGGGCACCGCUAGGAGCUGGAGCUGGAGGAACGCGCCUGGAUGUGACCUCGCUCUGAUACUCCCGUUAAUGUACAGACGGCAGCCAGAGGACAGGUGCUGCGAUGCUCACACUUCCUCUGCACGCUGCUGGUUUCCUCUCAUCUUGACAGACAUUUGGCUCCAGCGUUUGUCUCCUGAUGUGUCGCUCUCCGGCACCGCGCUGUGCUUUUCCGACGCUCAUUUCUCUCCCACUCGCGGCAUUCGCCCCCCCCUCCCCGCCUCGCGUCGUGCUGCCGACAGCAGAGACGGCAGCUACACAGCACCAAUUUCCUGAGUGCUGCUCACCGCUGGCACUCAUUUAAUUACUGCAGAGACAGAGGCGGGAGGAAGGACCCGGAUCAGCGCGGUUCUGGAUUGGAGGAGCACUGCGGCACCGGACCAAUUAGCAGGCGGAGGUGCAGAUUGGAGUGGACCACCUGGACUUGGUCUACUUCUAGGGGACUACUCUGUGCAGCGGAUGAGCACAUUGCUGAGGCUCCGCUGAGAACCUCAAGGAACCAAGCUCCAUAUGUGGGACUGACUGAAAAUAACCUCCGGCGUCUGGACAGCAGGAGCAGGACUCCGAGCACACACUCAGCGCUUGUUAGUAGGAUCCGGCCACCGGUUCCAGUCUGUGGUGAGGUCUGCUGGGGGAAAAGUACUGAACAGCGAGCGACAUGGACGGAGCACUCGGCCCGGUUCUAUCACACCAAACCACCUCCACGCUGAUGAGUGCGCUUCCACGGAGCCGGCUCAACGUCUGUCCGUUAAGACUAACGCGAUCAAUAGCAGCUCCUGUCCUCCCCACGUAGAUGUGACAGGCCGGCGCAUAGGCCCAGGAAGGGAUUACGUGCACGUCCGACCCGUUCAGCCUUAAUUAUACGCUGUCACUAAUUGCAGCUGCUGAGGAGCUCAGUGUCAGGGUUGUGGAGGUUUAUCGUGUCUCGUCUGUGUUACGGUGCAGAGCGUGAAUCUUAAUCUAAGCAUUUCAUAGACCUGAGCCUGAACUUGUCUUAUUGGAUAAAUAAUCCACACAUUCAUAAUUCAGAGUGAACAAUGGGAUUCAGCAAAGCAGUGGAGUUCAUCCAUGACAUAAACUCAAUCAGUCUAAUAUUGCUUCACAGUGUCCUGUUACCUGCGUGACUAACUGCUGAGCGUGAACUAAAUCCCUGUGUCAUGCAGACUGGAUGUGGAGCAGCCUCUAAGCCGCUGUCCCCGCCGGGCCGCCGUGCACAUCGGGCUUGUGUGCGUCCCGGCGUUCGCCCGCUCCGCGUGACGCUGCGGCACCAAUGACAGCUUGCAGUGAAAUGACAGCUUGCGUGGGCCCAGGCUGGAUUUGAUCCCCAGCUGUUUGAGGCUGUUUAAAGCCUGACUCAUGGCGAGGGCUUUAAGCUCCGCGCAUGCCUGCUCCUGCCUCGGCUCUGGGAGAAGGUGGAGCCCAGCGAGGUCAUGGCCGUCAGGCUGAGACACAGAGCACAGAUCAUAGCACCCAUGUGGCAUCUGUGUGUGAUCCUUCUUAUCUCCCUCAACGAUAGGGCCUAUCAUAUACCUAAUAUUGCUCUUUGAAGUAUAUGGCAGACGGCUUGUUGACU
rnacentral:lncRNA from 1 species